rnacentral:tRNA from 1 species
CGGGGCGUGGCGCAGCUCGGUAGCGCGCGUCGUUCGGGACGACGAGGUCCCCGGUUCAAAUCCGGGCGCCCCGACCA